CUGGAAGGGAGAGUCCUCUGAGAGGAGCAAGGAACAGCUGAAGAGAUGUGUGAAGGGAGGAUUUGGGCUCAAAGAGAGGGAAACUCUGAGGACAGAGACCUCACAGAGCCCUUGUCAGGGGACACCAGGGAGCACCAACUUGAGAAGGGCCAGCGGCCACCAGCUCACUCUCCGAGUAUCCACCAGGAACACGAGAUGGCUGCUAGAGGAAUGUGCCUUAGGUGCAAGCUCAGGUCUGAAAAUCACCUACAUUACAGGUGGUCCAGAGAGAUCUAGAUGAAACGGGGCAUUAGCACAUCUCAGAGAAUCAUUUCCCCAGUAGGUGGGGCAAAUUCUGGACCAUCUGGGCGAGAAGAUGCACUGGUCAGGCACAGUGUGUUUCCUCUUAAUGUAAAUGCUGAAGGAACCAGGAAGCCAGCACUUGAAGAUUUGAGAAGGACCAUUUAAUGAUCUUCAAUCUUUGCCAAUUUAUUUCCUGUUACUAAAAAAAUAAAAACAAAAGAAACAAGAAAACACACCUGCAUGGCCCAGAGACACGGUCCCUGAUGGUUCUGUUGCCCAAGAAACAGUUCACGUUCUAUCAGAUAUAGGGUGCUACGGACUCAGUUUCCCGGGCUGUCUACACAGGGAAACCGUGUUUCUACAGCAGACCGGAUAGAAGAUUGUGCACGGAAUCCAAACUGCUCUCUAUUUCUACUCGCCACCUACGCUACCCCACCGCACUUCGUAGGGGGGAGACUUUCUUAACGUGUGGUCACACAUGGGGUUCUUACCCAUUUCCUUGGGAAGAAGAGCCUGUCUGUCCUGUGGCUGAUAAGUCCCAUCACCAUCACACUCCAAAUGGUCCAGGUGGUCCAGGUGCCCCGAGCCUGCGGCGGUCCCGGCCACAGCAGCCAGGGAGACCACACGCCCACAUGCCCGAGGCACAGGAGCUCCAGGCCAGGGGCUGGCAGGGACAUGGAGAAGGCCCGAAGCCCUGUGGCCAUUGGAAUGUCGCAUCUCCUGGACUGCUCAUGGGCAGCGUGUGGUGGCCCCGUGCGGAGAGGGCUGAUCUCCUGGGCAUCUGGGUCCAUCACAACAUCUGAACUCCAGGAUUCACCUCGGCGGCAGAUAACAAAUACACCUUUUGAGAAACUAAGGAAGUGUUGAAUUUGUGCACCUUUUCUUUUGUAGCCUUUAAAAACUUAGGACUAACCUUGAGUGUGCCUUAAGGGCUAAAUCUUCUGGUUUAGCAAAGUCAAAAUAAUGAG
rnacentral:lncRNA from 1 species